rnacentral:misc_RNA from 1 species
AGCUUAAAGAUGCUGUCUAUGAAGAUGACGACUUGCUGGACGACAUUGCUUAUGAAGCUCCAGGCUCCAAGUUAGAAGUUGGAUCUUCCAGGAAAAAGGUGCUCAAAUUUCUCUUCUCACCGUCAUAAUCAUAAUCAUACCAAAAUUCAACAAGGGGUGAAUGCGAAAUUGGAACGGAUCCUUGGCCUACUUGAACACUUAGUAAAACAAACUGAUGCCCUUGGCAUGAGAAAGGGUAUUGGAGAAAAACCAUCAUCGCAGAAAACAUCGACCAUUUCAAAGCCAGAUGAUGAAUAUGGUAUUUAUGGUAGGGACGAUGACAAGAAAGCCAUAAUACACGUUGUAAAUAGCUUGUAUGUUAGAUAGU